rnacentral:rRNA from 1 species
GUGCAGCAGGCGAGAAUUUUUCUCAAUGGGGGAAACCCUGGAGGAGCGACGCCGCGUGGAGGAUGAAGGUUUUCGGAUUGUAAACUCCUGUCAUUAGGGAACAAGUGCCGCCGAGUAACUACCGGCGGCUUGAUAGUACCUGAAGAGGAAGGGACGGCUAACUCUGUGCCAGCAGCCGCGGUAAUACAGAGGUCCCAAGCGUUGUUCGGAUUCAUUGGGCGUAAAGGGUGCGUAGGUGGUGCCGUAAGUUGGGUGUGAAAUCUCGGGGCUCAACCCCGAAACUGCACUCAAUACUGCGGUGCUGGAGUACUGGAGAGGAGAUUGGAAUUCACGGUGUAGCAGUGAAAUGCGUAGAUAUCGUGAGGAAGACCAGUGGCGAAGGCGGAUCUCUGGACAGUUACUGACACUGAGGCACGAAGGCCAGGGGAGCAAACGGGAUUAGAUACCCGUGUAGU